rnacentral:tRNA from 1 species
GCCUGGGUGGCUCAGUUCGGUUAAGCGUCUGACUUCAGCUCAGGUCACGAUCUCGCGGUCCGUGAGUUCGAGCCCCGCAUCAGGCU